CCCUACGGGGGGCUGCAGUGAGGAAUAUUGGUCAAUAGGCGCAAGCCUGAACCAGCCAUCCCGCGUGCAGGAAGACGGCGCUAUGCGUUGUAAACUGCUUUUCCAGGGGGAGAAACUUGCGCACGUGUUGCGCAAUUGACGGUACCCUGGGAAUAAGCAUCGGCUAACUCCGUGCCAGCAGCCGCGGUAAUACGGAGGAUGCGAGCGUUAUCCGGAUUCAUUGGGUUUAAAGGGUGCGUAGGCGGACUAUUAAGUCAGUGGUGAAAUCCUGCAGCUUAACUGCAGAACUGCCAUUGAUACUGAUAGCCUUGAGUUUGGUUAAGGUAGGCGGAAUGUGUAAUGUAGCGGUGAAAUGCUUAGAUAUUACACAGAACACCAAUUGCGUAGGCAGCUUACUGAGCCGACACUGACGCUGAGGCACGAAAGCGUGGGGAUCGAACAGGAUUGGAUACCCCUGUAGUCAAA
rnacentral:rRNA from 1 species